GAUGAACGCUGACAGAAUGCUUAACACAUGCAAGUCCACUUGAAUUUGGGUUUUUAACUUAGGUUUGGGUGGCGGACGGGUGAGUAACGCGUAAAGAACUUGCCUCACAGCUAGGGACAACAUUUGGAAACGAAUGCUAAUACCUAAUAUUAUGAUAAUAGGGCAUCCUAUAAUUAUGAAAGCUAUAAGCGCUGUGAGAGAGCUUUGCGUCCCAUUAGCUAGUUGGAGAGGUAACGGCUCACCAAGGCGAUGAUGGGUAGCCGGCCUGAGAGGGUGAUCGGCCACAAGGGGACUGAGACACGGCCCGUACGCCUACGGGAGGCAGCAGUGGGGAAUAUUGGACAAUGGACCGAGAGUCUGAUCCAGCAAUUCUGUGUGCACGAUGAAGUUUUUCGGAAUGUAAAGUGCUUUCAGUUGGGAAGAAACAAAUGACGGUACCAACAGAAGAAGUGACGGCUAAAUACGUG
rnacentral:rRNA from 1 species